UGGCCGAUUUUGGCACUAGCACAUUUUUGCUUGUGUCUCACCGCUCUGAGCAAUCAUGUGCAGUGCCAAUAUGGGAAA
rnacentral:pre_miRNA from 1 species